rnacentral:rRNA from 1 species
GAUGAACGCUGGCGAGAUGCUUUACACAUGCAAGUCAUACGAGAGUUUUUAACUCAAGUGGCGGACGGGUGAGUAACACGUAAGAAUUUACCUUUAGGAGGGGGAUAACAACGAGAAAUUGUUGCUAAUACCCCAUAUGCUUUCGAGUGAAAUGGAUUUUUCCGCCUAGAGAGAAGCUUGCGCCUGAUUAGCUUGUUGGUAAGGUAAUGGCUUACCAAGGCGACGAUCAGUAUCUGGUUUGAGAGGAUGAUCAGACACACUGGAACUGAGACACGGUCCAGACUCCUACGGGAGGCAGCAGUGGGGAAUCUUGGACAAUGGGCGCAAGCCUGAUCCAGCCAUGCCGCGUGAGUGAUGAAGGCCCUAGGGUCGUAAAGCUCUUUCGCCUGUGAAGAUAAUGACGGUAGCAGGUAAAAGAAACCCCGGCU